rnacentral:rRNA from 1 species
AGCAGCCGCGGUAAUUCCAGCCCCAAUAGCGUAUAUUAAAGUUGCUGCGGUUAAAAAGCUCGUAGUUGAAUUUCGGGGACCAUCAUGUCGGUCGUGCCUCGGUACGUACUGGUAUUGUUGGUUUCUCCCUUCUGACGAACCAUGAUGUCAUUUAUUCGGUGUUGUGGGGAAUCAGGACUGUUACUUUGAAAAAAAUUAGAGUAGUUUAAAGCAGGCUCACGCUUGAAUACAUUAGCAUGGAAUAAUGAAAUAGGACGUUUGAUUCUAUUUUGUUGGUUUCUAGGAUCGACGUAAUGAUUAAUAGGGAUAGUUGGGGGCAUUAGUAUUCAAUUGUCAGAGGUGAAAUUCUUGGAUUUAUUGAAGACUAACUACUGCGAAAGCAUUUGCCAAGGAUGUUUUCAUUAAUCAAGAACGAAAGUUAGGGGAUCGAAGACGAUCAGAUACCGUCGUAGUCUUAACCAUAAACUAUGCCGACUAGGGAUCGGAUGAUGUUAAUUUUUAAUGUACUCAUUCGGCGCCU